rnacentral:rRNA from 1 species
AACCCUACCUGCCAGUUACUAACAGGUAACGCUGAGGACUCUGGCGGAACUGCCGGUGACAAACCGGAGGAAGGUGGGGAUGACGUCAAGUCAUCAUGGCCCCUAUGUCCAGGGCUACACACGUGCUACAAUGGGCGAUACAGAGUGACGCGAAGCCGCGAGGUGGAGCAAAUCGCAGAAAAUCGCUCUCAGUUCGGAUUGGAGUCUGAAACCCGACUCCAUGAAGGUGGAAUCGCUAGUAAUCGCGCAUCAGCAUGGCGCGGUGAAUACGUUCCCGGGCCUU